GGCUGGUCCGAAGGUAGUGAGUUCUUUCAGUUGAUUGUUCACAGUCAGCCAUUUAUGGCAAUUGUUAGCAUUGUUAUACAAUUGUAAACAAUUGCUAAUAAUUGAUUACCCUGUUUUCACUACUAUACUUGACUAGUCUUAA
rnacentral:Y_RNA from 1 species